AUUGAACGCUGGCGGCAGGCCUAACACAUGCAAGUCGAGCGGAUGAAGGGAGCUUGCUCCUGGAUUCAGCGGCGGACGGGUGAGUAAUGCCUAGGAAUCUGCCUGGUAGUGGGGGAUAACGUCCGGAAACGGGCGCUAAUACCGCAUACGUCCUGAGGGAGAAAGUGGGGGAUCUUCGGACCUCACGCUAUCAGAUGAGCCUAGGUCGGAUUAGCUAGUUGGUGGGGUAAAGGCCUACCAAGGCGACGAUCCGUAACUGGUCUGAGAGGAUGAUCAGUCACACUGGAACUGAGAAACGGUCCAGACUCCUACGGGAGGCAGCAGUGGGGAAUAUUGGACAAUGGGCGAAAGCCUGAUCCAGCCAUGCCGCGUGUGUGAAGAAGGUCUUCGGAUUGUAAAGCACUUUAAGUUGGGAGGAAGGGCAGUAAGUUAAUACAUUGCUGUUUUGACGUUACCAACGGAAUAAGCACCGGCUAACUUCGUG
rnacentral:rRNA from 1 species